rnacentral:rRNA from 1 species
UACGUAGGGUCCAAGCGUUAUCCGGAAUCACUGGGCGUAAAGCGUACGUAGGUGGCGUGUUAAGUGAGAUGUUAAAUCGUGUGGCUCAACCAUACGUUGUGUCUCAUACUGGCAUGCUAGAGGACGGCAGAGGCAAGUGGAAUUACGAGUGUAGCAGUGAAAUGCGCAGAUAUCAGGAGGAACACCAAUGGCGAAGGCAGCUCGCUGGGACGGUACUGACGCUGAGACGCGAAAGCGUGGGGAGCAAACAGG